rnacentral:rRNA from 1 species
AGCGUACACGGUGGAUGCCCUGGCAGUCAGAGGCGAUGAAGGACGUGCUAAUCUGCGAAAAGCGCCGGCGAGGUGAUAUGAACCUUUGACCCGGCGAUGUCCGAAUGGGGAAACCCAGUGCAAUUCGUUGCACUAUCGUUAACUGAAUACAUAGGUUAACGAGGCGAACCGGGGGAACUGAAACAUCUAAGUACCCCGAGGAAAAGAAAUCAACCGAGAUUCCCCCAGUAGCGGCGAGCGAACGGGGAGCAGCCCGGAGUCUGAAUCAGCUUGUGUGUUAGUGGAACGGUCUGGAAAGUCCGACGGUACAGGGUGAUAGUCCCGUACACGAAAGCACACAUGCUGUGAACUCGAAGAGUAGGGCGGGACACGUGGUAUCCUGUCUGAAUAUGGGGGGACCAUCCUCCAAGGCUAAAUACUCCUGACUGACCGAUAGUGAACCAGUACCGUGAGGGAAAGGCGAAAAGAACCCCGGCGAGGGGAGUGAAAAAGAACCUGAAACCGUGUACGUACAAGCAGUGGAAGCCUCUUUAUGGGGUGACUGCGUACCUUUUGUAUAAUGGGUCAGCGACUUAUAUUCUGUAGCAAGGUUAACCGUAUAGGGGAGCCGAAGGGAAACCGAGUCUUAACUGGGCGUUAAGUUGCAGGGUAUAGACCCGAAACCCGGUGAUCUAGCCAUGGGCAGGUUGAAGGUUGGGUAACACUAACUGGAGGACCGAACCGACUAAUGUUGAAAAAUUAGCGGAUGACCUGUGGCUGGGGGUGAAAGGCCAAUCAAACCGGGAGAUAGCUGGUUCUCCCCGAAAGCUAUUUAGGUAGCGCCUCGUGAACUCAUCUUCGGGGGUAGAGCACUGUUUCGGCUAGGGGGCCAUCCCGGCUUACCAACCCGAUGCAAACUACGAAUACCGAAGAAUGUUAUCACGGGAGACACACGGCGGGUGCUAACGUCCGUCGUGAAGAGGGAAACAACCCAGACCGCCAGCUAAGGUCCCAAAGUCAUGGUUAAGUGGGAAACGAUGUGGGAAGGCACAGACAGCCAGGAUGUUGGCUUAGAAGCAGCCAUCAUUUAAAGAAAGCGUAAUAGCUCACUGGUCGAGUCGGCCUGCGCGGAAGAUGUAACGGGGCUAAACCAUGCACCGAAGCUGCGGCAGCGACGCUUAUGCGUUGUUGGGUAGGGGAGCGUUCUGUAAGCCGUUGAAGGUGUGCUGUGAGGCAUGCUGGAGGUAUCAGAAGUGCGAAUGCUGACAUAAGUAACGAUAAAGCGGGUGAAAAGCCCGCUCGCCGGAAGACCAAGGGUUCCUGUCCAACGUUAAUCGGGGCAGGGUGAGUCGACCCCUAAGGCGAGGCCGAAAGGCGUAGUCGAUGGGAAACAGGUUAAUAUUCCUGUACUUGGUGUUACUGCGAAGGGGGGACGGAGAAGGCUAUGUCAGCCGGGCGACGGUUGUCCCGGUUUAAGCAUGUAGGCGGAGGUUCCAGGUAAAUCCGGUACCUUAUUAACGCUGAGGUGUGAUGACGAGGCACUACGGUGCUGAAGUGAUAAAUGCCCUGCUUCCAGGAAAAGCCUCUAAGCAUCAGGUAACACGAAAUCGUACCCCAAACCGACACAGGUGGUCAGGUAGAGAAUACCAAGGCGCUUGAGAGAACUCGGGUGAAGGAACUAGGCAAAAUGGUGCCGUAACUUCGGGAGAAGGCACGCUGAUAUGUAGGUGAAGUCCCUGCGGACGGAGCUGAAAUCAGUCGAAGAUACCAGCUGGCUGCAACUGUUUAUUAAAAACACAGCACUGUGCAAACACGAAAGUGGACGUAUACGGUGUGACGCCUGCCCGGUGCCGGAAGGUUAAUUGAUGGGGUUAGCGGCAACGCGAAGCUCUUGAUCGAAGCCCCGGUAAACGGCGGCCGUAACUAUAACGGUCCUAAGGUAGCGAAAUUCCUUGUCGGGUAAGUUCCGACCUGCACGAAUGGCGUAAUGAUGGCCAGGCUGUCUCCACCCGAGACUCAGUGAAAUUGAACUCGCUGUGAAGAUGCAGUGUACCCGCGGCAAGACGGAAAGACCCCGUGAACCUUUACUAUAGCUUGACACUGAACACUGGUCCUUGAUGUGUAGGAUAGGUGGGAGGCUUUGAAGCGUGGACGCCAGUCUGCGUGGAGCCAACCUUGAAAUACCACCCUUUAAUGGCUGGUGUUCUAACGUAGACCCGUAAUCCGGGUUGCGGACAGUGUCUGGUGGGUAGUUUGACUGGGGCGGUCUCCUCCCAAAGAGUAACGGAGGAGCACGAAGGUUGGCUAAUCCUGGUCGGACAUCAGGAGGUUAGUGCAAUGGCAUAAGCCAGCUUGACUGCGAGCGUGACGGCGCGAGCAGGUGCGAAAGCAGGUCAUAGUGAUCCGGUGGUUCUGAAUGGAAGGGCCAUCGCUCAACGGAUAAAAGGUACUCCGGGGAUAACAGGCUGAUACCGCCCAAGAGUUCAUAUCGACGGCGGUGUUUGGCACCUCGAUGUCGGCUCAUCACAUCCUGGGGCUGAAGUAGGUCCCAAGGGUAUGGCUGUUCGCCAUUUAAAGUGGUACGCGAGCUGGGUUUAGAACGUCGUGAGACAGUUCGGUCCCUAUCUGCCGUGGGCGCUGGAGAAUUGAGGGGGGCUGCUCCUAGUACGAGAGGACCGGAGUGGACGCAUCACUGGUGUUCGGGUUGUCAUGCCAAUGGCACUGCCCGGUAGCUAAAUGCGGAAAAGAUAAGUGCUGAAAGCAUCUAAGCACGAAACUUGCCCCGAGAUGAGUUCUCCCUGAGACCUUGA